AACCUGCUCCAUGAAAAUUAAAUAGCCGCAGUACAUUGACUGUGCAAAGGUAGCAUAAUCAAUUGGCUUAUAAUUGAAGUCUAGUAUGAAUGGGAAUUCGGGGAAUAGCUGUCUCAAUAUAAGAUAAUAUAAGUUACUUAGUAGGUGAAAAGUCUUACAGUAAGAAGAAAGACGAGAAGACCCUAGAAAUUUUGUAAACACUUCUUUGUUUUAUUUUGUUGGGGCGACAUAGUAACAGCUAACUUACUAUAUAUUACAAGAUAUUAUUUAGUUGAUAGAUUAAAUUACUCUAGGGAUAACAGCAUAAUUCACAUGUGAGUUUUUGACCUCGAUGUUGGACUAGGAAUUACUUUAUUUAGAAGAUAAAUUA
rnacentral:rRNA from 1 species